rnacentral:rRNA from 1 species
UACGGGGGGGGCGAGCGUUGUUCGGAUUUACUGGGCGUAAAGGGCGCGUAGGCGGCGGGUCAAGUCGAGUGUGAAAGCCCCGGGCUCAACCUGGGAAUUGCGCUCGAGACUGGUCUGCUUGAGUUCGGGAGAGGAGAGUGGAAUUCCCAGUGUAGAGGUGAAAUUCGUAGAUAUUGGGAAGAACACCGGUGGCGAAGGCGGCUCUCUGGACCGAGACUGACGCUGAGGCGCGAAAGCGUGGGGAGCAAACAGG